rnacentral:rRNA from 1 species
UACGGAAGGCAGCAGUGGGGAAUAUUGCACAAUGGGCGCAAGCCUGAUGCAGCCAUGCCGCGUGUAUGAAGAAGGCCUUCGGGUUGUAAAGUACUUUCAGUCGUGAGGAAGGUGUUAAGGUUAAUAACCUUAGCAAUUGACGUUAGCGACAGAAGAAGCAUCGGCUAACUCCGUGCCAGCAGCCGCGGUAAUACGGAGGGUGCGAGCGUUAAUCGGAAUUACUGGGCGUAAAGGGCACGCAGGCGGUUAAUUAAGUUGGAUGUGAAAUCCCCGGGCUUAACCUGGGAAUGGCAUUCAAGACUGGUUAGCUAGAGUCUUGUAGAGGGGGGUAGAAUUCCAUGUGUAGCGGUGAAAUGCGUAGAGAUGUGGAGGAAUACCGGGUGGCGAAGGCGGCCCCUGGGACAAAGACUGACGCUCAUGUGCGAAAGCGUGGGGAGCAAACGAGGAUUAGAUACC